CCACUUUUGGCCUCCAGAGGGCAGCAAUGUUGCAUAGACUGAAGGUCGACACUGAACAAUAUCUUGUGUGAGAGUCUUUUUAUCUCACAGCUCUCAGAGGUGCAGUUGUGAGGAGAAAGGGCGCUACAGCAGUCGUUGCCAAGGGAGCCUCUCUCGGUUAAUAGUCUCCAAGCCUUGUCUACAAGAGCUCUUCAACCCAUGUUCUACUCAUUCCUGCUCAGCGAGAUUUUGCAGAAUACAUCUUCCUGCCUUCUCCUGCCUAGCCAUGUUCCCACUGACCAUUCUGCUGCUGAGCAUGUUCCUCUCAUUGAGAGGAAACAGAGCCCAGUCAGUGGUCCAGCCUGAUGCUCACCUCACCGUCUCUGAAGGAGCCUCACUAGAGCUCAAAUGCAGCUAUUCUUAUGGUGCAACACCUUACCUCUUUUGGUACGUCCAGUAUCCUGGCCAGAGCCUCCAGCUUCUCCUCAAAUACUUUUCAGGAAACACUCUUGUUAAAGGCAUCAACGGCUUUCAGGCAGAGUUUGGGAAAAGUAACUCCUCCUUCAACCUGAGGAAAAACCCAGCCCACUGGAGCGACUCGGCCAAGUACUUUUGUGCUUUGAGUGACACAGCGCCUGAGGCUGCAGGGGGAGCUCAGCACAAACCUCCGGAGACUUUCUGUGACUUGAAAGCACACCAUGAAUGAUUCAUACCAACGUCACUAGUAAUGAAAAUGAAGGAGCAGGGAUGAGGAGAAUGUUUGACUCCUAAAAACAAACAGAAAUUUAGUGUAUUUCUUAUUUUACUAUGGAGUCGUGCUUCAGGUGGAUGCCCUUCUGCAUGGAGACAAUGCAUGCUAGAGACACUGCACUCAAGACCACAGUAAAGUGUAACAGGCCUGAUGUCCUGGCUUCCCCCAGUUCCCCUACCAAAUGCUCCUUAGAUCACCAACUUUUGUGUUUCAACUGUAGUAACAACAGCAUUUCUGGCUAUAGCAUGAUUUAUCAAAGAUUUCACCCCUCACAUAUAACUCAUUGAGACAUCAGUUUGACCUUAAAAUCGGCUGUACUCUCUAGCCACCACUACCUCCUUGACCAACCUGUGGUGGAUUUCUAAACAUUUUUGCUGCAUGUUAUACUACAGUCUAUUCUGAAUGCAACAACCAAUGAGAAUUAGAUGAUAAGGAGGUGGGAAGAAUCUGGGAAGAGUUGGGCAAGGGAAAAGCAUGCUCAGAAUCUAUUAUAUGAGA